AUGGAGACGAAGUCUUUUCUGUGAAGCCGGCGUGUGAGCGAUCCGGUGGAGAGAUCACUAGUGAGAAUGAUGACAUGAGUAGCGACAAAGAGUGUGAGAGACACUCUCGCCGAAAGUCCAAGGGUUCCUGCUUAAAGCUAAUCUGAGCAGGGUAAGCCGGCCCCUAAGCCGAGGCCGAAAGGCGUAGGCGAUGGGAACCACGUUAAUAUUCGUGGGCCAGAUGGAAGUGACGGAUCUCGAAGAUUGUUCCUCCUUAUCGGAUUGGAGGGGCCGUUCAGAGGUUCCUGGAAAUAGCUCCAUCAUCAGACCGUACCCUAAACCGACACAGGUGGACUGGUAGAGAAUACCAAGGCGCUUGAGAGAACGAUGUUGAAGGAACUCGGCAAAAUACCUCCGUAAGUUCGCGAGAAGGAGGCCCGGUUCCUAGGCAACUAGGGGCUGGGGGCACAAACCAGGGGGUGGCGACUGUUUAUUAAAAACACAGGGCUCUGCGAAGUCGCAAGACGACGUAUAGGGUCUGACGCCUGCCCGGUGCCUGAAGGUUAAAAGGAGGGGUGAGAGCUCUGAAUUGAAGCCCAGGUAAACGGCGGCCGUAACAAUAACGGUCCUAAGGUAGCGAAAUUCCUUGUCGGGUAAGUUCCGACCUGCACGAAUGGCGUAACGACUUCCCCGCUGUCUCCAACAUCGACUCAGCGAAAUUGAAUUGCCUGUCAAGAUGCAGGCUUCCCGCGGUUAGACGGAAAGACCCCGUGCACCUUUACUACAGCUUCGCACUGGCAUCAGGAUUGUGAUGUGCAGGAUAGGUGGUAGGCUUUGAAGCGGUGACGCCAGUCAUCGUGGAGCCUCCCUUGAGAUACCACCCUUGCUCUGCUUGAAGUCUAACCGCGGCCCGUUAUCCGGGUCCGGGACCCUGCGUGGUGGGUAGUUUGACUGGGGCGGUCGCCUCCUAAAGCGUAACGGAGGCGCGCGAAGGUUGGCUCAGAGCGGUCGGAAAUCGCUCGUUGAGUGCAAUGGCAGAAGCCAGCCUGACUGCGAGACUGACAAGUCGAGCAGAGUCGAAAGACGGCCAUAGUGAUCCGGUGGUCCCGAGUGGAAGGGCCAUCGCUCAACGGAUAAAAGGUACGCCGGGGAUAACAGGCUGAUACUGCCCAAGAGUCCAUAUCGACGGCACCGUUUGGCACCUCGAUGUCGGCUCAUCUCAUCCUGGGGCUGGAGCAGGUCCCAAGGGUACGGCUGUUCGCCGUUUAAAGAGGUACGUGAGCUGGGUUUAGAACGUCGUGAGACAGUUCGGUCCCUAUCUGCCGUGGGUGUAGGAUACUUGAGAGGAGUUGCCCCUAGUACGAGAGGACCGGGGUGAACGAUCCACUGGUGGACCUGUUGUGGCGCCAGCCGCAGUGCAGGGUAGCUAUGAUCGGAAAGGAUAACCGCUGAAGGCAUCUAAGCGGGAAGCCCCCCUCAAAACAAGGUAUCCCUGAGGGCCGUGGUAGACCACCACGUCGAUAGGCCGGAGGUGUAAGCGCAGCAAUGCGUUCAGCUGACCGGUACUAAUGGCCCGAUAGGCUUGAU
rnacentral:rRNA from 1 species